rnacentral:rRNA from 1 species
AGGAUCAUUCAUAAUAAGUGUUUUAUGGCACUUUUUAAAUCCAUAUCCACCUUGUGUGCAAUGUCAGUCGAUCUUCUUCAUGGAGAUCGACCAAACAUCAACCUUUAUUUUUUAACUCUUUGUCUGAAAAAUAUUAUGAAUAAACAAUUCAAAAUACAACUUUCAACAACGGAUCUCUUGGCUCUCGCAUCGAUGAAGAACGCAGCGAAAUGCGAUACGUAAUGUGAAUUGCAGAAUUCAGUGAAUCAUCGAAUCUUUGAACGCAUAUUGCGCUCUUUGGUAUUCCGAAGAGCAUGCUUGUUUGAGUAUCAGUAAACACCUCAAAGCUUUUGGAUUUUUUAAUCGAAAAGCUUUGGACUUGAGCAAUCCCAACACCAAUCUUUUUGAGAUCGGUGGCGGGUUGCUUGAAAUGCAGGUGCAGCUGGACAUUCUCCUGAGCUAAAAGCAUAUUCAUUUAGUCCCGUCAAACGGAUUAUUACUUUUGCUGCAGCUAACAUAAAGGGAGUUUGACCGUAUUGGCUGACUGAUGCAGGAUUUCACAAGGGUCGGCAACGAUUCUUGUUAAACUCGAUCUCAAAUCAAGUAAGACUACCCGCUGAACUUAA